UACGAGGGGGGCAAGCGUUGUUCGGAAUUAUUGGGCGUAAAGGGCGCGUAGGCGGUGCGGUAAGUCUGAUGUGAAAUCUCCGGGCUCAACUCGGAGUCUGCAUCAGAAACUGCCGUGCUCGAGUGUGGGAGAGGUGAGUGGAAUUCCCGGGUGUAGCGGUGAAAUGCGCAGAUAUCAGGAGGAACACCGGUGGCGAAGGCGGCUUGCUGGGCCUUACCUGACGCUGGAGGAGCGAAAGCGUGGGGAGCGAACGG
rnacentral:rRNA from 1 species